rnacentral:sRNA from 1 species
CUUUUCGAUGUGACCAAAGGUACAUCAUAGGGAUCUCCAGCCAGCUCUACUGAGUAUGAUGUGUGAGGCAUCAGCACUUAGGUGUCAGGAGCCAUGGGUCUGCUGCAGAGGGCGUGGUUGAGGGUCAGGAGCCAUCAGUCUACGGAGAGCGUGGUUGAGGGCAGCUACUUGCCUUACCCACCAGCGGUGGUUCAUGCUGGGCAGUGCUUGCUGUGUACCAGGAGGUGGGCCGAGCACUUCGCAUUCUGCCUCUGUCCCCACAUCAGCCCAGGGACGGGGAGCGGUUAUUGUCUGUUUUUCAGAUAAGGAAACUGAGGUCAGAGGGGCUGCCUUUGUGCUCAUACCACAAAUAAAUGGAAGGGAUCCUGAAGAGCAUGGUCGUGGGCUGGGUGAAGGAGAUCACCCAGUACCACAACAUCUAUGCAGACAACCAGGUGAUGCACUUCUACCGCUGGCUUCGGUCGCCAUCCUCUCUGCUUCAUGACCCCGCCCUGCACCGCACACUCCACAACAUGAUGAAGAAGCUCUUCCUGCAGCUCAUCGCUGAGUUCAAGCGCCUGGGGUCAUCAGUCAUCUACGCCAACUUCAACCGCAUCAUCCUCUGUACAAAGAAGCGCCGUGUGGAAGAUGCCAUCGCUUACGUGGAGUACAUCACCAGCAGCAUCCAUUCGAAGGAGAUCUUCCAUUCUUUGACGAUUUCUUUCUCUCGAUGCUGGGAAUUUCUUCUCUGGAUGGAUCCAUCUAACUAUGGCGGAAUCAAAGGAAAAGUUUCAUCUCGUAUUCACUGCGGACUGCAAGACUCCCAGAA